GCAGGCAUAGUUUAAUGGUAAAACAGAGGUCUCCAAAACCUUUGACGGAAGUUCGAUUCUUUCUGCCUGCG
rnacentral:tRNA from 1 species